UACGAAGGGUGCAAGCGUUAAUCGGAAUUACUGGGCGUAAAGCGUGCGUAGGCGGUUCGUUAAGUCUGUUGUGAAAGCCCUGGGCUCAACCUGGGAAUGGCAUUUGAUACUCUGAGGCUGGAGUACGGGAGAGGAGAGUGGAAUUCCCAGUGUAGAGGUGAAAUUCGUAGAUAUUGGGAAGAACACCGGUGGCGAAGGCGGCUCUCUGGACCGUAACUGACGCUGAGGCGCGAAAGCGUGGGGAGCAAACAGG
rnacentral:rRNA from 1 species